rnacentral:rRNA from 1 species
GAGGCAUGCUGGAGGUAUCAGAAGUGCGAAUGCUGACAUAAGUAACGAUAAAGCGGGUGAAAAGCCCGCUCGCCGGAAGACCAAGGGUUCCUGUCCAACGUUAAUCGGGGCAGGGUGAGUCGACCCCUAAGGCGAGGCCGAAAGGCGUAGUCGAUGGGAAACAGGUUAAUAUUCCUGUACUUGGUGUUACUGCGAAGGGGGGACGGAGAAGGCUAUGUUGGCCGGGCGACGGUUGUCCCGGUUUAAGCGUGUAGGCUGGUUUUCCAGGCAAAUCCGGAAAAUCAAGGCUGAGGCGUGAUGACGAGGCACUACGGUGCUGAAGCAACAAAUGCCCUGCUUCCAGGAAAAGCCUCUAAGCAUCAGGUAACAUCAAAUCGUACCCCAAACCGACACAGGUGGUCAGGUAGAGAAUACCAAGGCGCUUGAGAGAACUCGGGUGAAGGAACUAGGCAAAAUGGUGCCGUAACUUCGGGAGAAGGCACGCUGAUAUGUAGGUGAAGUCCCUUGCGGAUGGAGCUGAAAUCAGUCGAAGAUACCAGCUGGCUGCAACUGUUUAUUAAAAACACAGCACUGUGCAAACACGAAAGUGGACGUAUACGGUGUGACGCCUGCCCGGUGCCGGAAGGUUAAUUGAUGGGGUCAGCGCAAGCGAAGCUCUUGAUCGAAGCCCCGGUAAACGGCGGCCGUAACUAUAACGGUCCUAAGGUAGCGAAAUUCCUUGUCGGGUAAGUUCCGACCUGCACGAAUGGCGUAAUGAUGGCCAGGCUGUCUCCACCCGAGACUCAGUGAAAUUGAACUCGCUGUGAAGAUGCAGUGUACCCGCGGCAAGACGGAAAGACCCCGUGAACCUUUACUAUAGCUUGACACUGAACAUUGAGCCUUGAUGUGUAGGAUAGGUGGGAGGCUUUGAAGUGUGGACGCCAGUCUGCAUGGAGCCGGCCUUGAAAUACCACCCUUUAAUGUUUGAUGUUCUAACGUGGACCCGUGAUCCGGGUUGCGGACAGUGUCUGGUGGGUAGUUUGACUGGGGCGGUCUCCUCCUAAAGAGUAACGGAGGAGCACGAAGGUUGGCUAAUCCUGGUCGGACAUCAGGAGGUUAGUGCAAUGGCAUAAGCCAGCUUGACUGCGAGCGUGACGGCGCGAGCAGGUGCGAAAGCAGGUCAUAGUGAUCCGGUGGUUCUGAAUGGAAGGGCCAUCGCUCAACGGAUAAAAGGUACUCCGGGGAUAACAGGCUGAUACCGCCCAAGAGUUCAUAUCGACGGCGGUGUUUGGCACCUCGAUGUCGGCUCAUCACAUCCUGGGGCUGAAGUAGGUCCCAAGGGUAUGGCUGUUCGCCAUUUAAAGUGGUACGCGAGCUGGGUUUAGAACGUCGUGAGACAGUUCGGUCCCUAUCUGCCGUGGGCGCUGGAGAACUGAGGGGGGCUGCUCCUAGUACGAGAGGACCGGAGUGGACGCAUCACUGGUGUUCGGGUUGUCAUGCCAAUGGCACUGCCCGGUAGCUAAAUGCGGAAGAGAUAAGUGCUGAAAGCAUCUAAGCACGAAACUUGCCCCGAGAUGAGUUCUCCCUGACCCUUUAAGGGUCCUGAAGGAACGUUGAAGACGACGACGUUGAUAGGCCGGGUGUGUAAGCGCAGCGAUGCGUUGAGCUAACCGGUACUAAUGAACCGUGAGGCUUAACCUUACAACGCCGAAG